GCGUCCGUGGCCCAAUGGCAGAGGCACCGGUUUAAGGAACCGGACGGUGCGGGUUCGAAUCCCGCCGGACGUACGA
rnacentral:tRNA from 1 species